UCCUACGGGGGGCAGCAGUAGGGAAUCUUCCACAAUGGACGAAAGUCUGAUGGAGCAACGCCGCGUGAGUGAAGAAGGGUUUCCGCUCGUAAAGCUCAGUUGGUAGUGAAGAAAGAUAGAGGUAGUAACUGGCCUUUAUUUGACGGUAAUUACUUAGAAAGUCACGGCUAACUACGUGCCAGCAGCCGCGGUAAUACGUAGGUGGCAAGCGUUGUCCGGAUUUAUUGGGCGUAAAGCGAGUGCCGGCGGUUCAAAAAAUCUGAUGUGAAAAGC
rnacentral:rRNA from 1 species